ensembl:lncRNA
AGACAGGCUUUACAGAAGACAGACAGGCUUUACAGAAGACAGACAGGCUUUUUCGGAAGACAGACAGACUUUUUCGGAAGACAGACAGGCUUUACAGAAGACAGACAGGCUUUACAGAAGACAGACAGGCUUUUUCGGAAGACAGACAGGCUUUACAGAAGACAGACAGGCUUUACAGAAGACAGACAGGCUUUUUCGGAAGACAGACAGGCUCUACAGAAACUGUGGCUACACCUCAGGUUGACAGGAUUCUUGAAGACAAACAGGACAGGAGAGAUCCUGCUCUGGGAGAGACGAUAUGGAAGCCAUUCUGGGAUGGCUUCUGAGGAGAAAGGUAAUGUAACAUCUAAUCAAUGUCACA